CCUACGGGGGGCAGCAGUCGAGAAUCAUUCACAAUGGGGGAAACCCUGAUGGUGCGACGCCGCGUGGGGGAAUGAAGGUCUUCGGAUUGUAAACCCCUGUCAUGUGGGAGCAAAUUAAAAAGAUAGUACCACAAGAGGAAGAGACGGCUAACUCUGUGCCAGCAGCCGCGGUAAUACAGAGGUCUCAAGCGUUGUUCGGAAUCACGGGGCGUAAGGCGUGCGUAGGCUGUUUCGUAAGUCGUGUGUGAAAGGCGCGGGCUCAACCCGCGGACGGCACAUGAUACUGCGAGACUAGAGUAAUGGAGGGGGAACCGGAAUUCUCGGUGUAGCAGUGAAAUGCGUAGAUAUCGAGAGGAACACUCGUGGCGAAGGCGGGUUCCUGGACAUUAACUGACGCUGAGGCACGAAGGCCAGGGGAGCGAAAGGGAUUAGAUACCCGAGUAGUC
rnacentral:rRNA from 1 species